rnacentral:misc_RNA from 1 species
UAUAGGGUCUGUAGCUCAGCUGGUUAGAGCACCGUCUUGAUAAGGCGGGGGUCGAUGGUUCGAGUCCAUCCAGACCCACCAGAUUCACCUGAAACAACGGGGGAUUAGCUCAACUGGGAGAGCACCUGCUUUGCAAGCAGGGGGUCGUCGGUUCGAUCCCGUCAUCCUCCACCAAACACCUGUUUAUGGUUUUAAGGAGCUGAAGUACCCGGGUUGGAUAUGCUUUGAUGUGAAGAGAAGUUAGAAGCAAGCGUUUGCUUAAAUGUUUGCUUCUGGCUUUUUUAAGCUGGAUUGAUCUUUAACAAAAUGGAAGAAGUAAAGUGAACACACGCAUUUGUGAUGAGUGUGAUGUGUUCAAAUGGGUAGUAAUUGAUUGCAAAAUCGAAAUGUUUUAACGCGUUAAGUUCUGAUUCAGUUCUCUAACUGGAUUGGUAAUAAGACGGUUAACUCAAGUUCAGCAUCAUCUGCUUGGUGAUGUUGGAUGUAGUGCUUUAGAAAACCUGUAACGGAUGUCUCAUGCAUCACGAAGUCUGAAUAAGGCUCAUCUAGCCAGCUAACGCUGUCUGAUGUGUCUAAAAAGGGUUCAGGUUUUAACGUUAUAGGGUCAAGCGAAUAAGUGCAUAUGGUGGAUGCCUUGGCGAUUACAGGCGAUGAAGGACGUGGUAGCCUGCGUAAAGUUUCGGGGAGCUGGCAAACAAGCUUUGAUCCGAAAAUAUCCGAAUGGGGAAACCCAAUCACUAGU